UCGCACCGGUUCUUCUUCUUUCUUUUUCCCCCUACUUUCCCUCUUCGUUCUGCUCUUCUCUUUCCCUCCCAUUUUCGCAUCUCCUGCUCUUCCUCCCGGCUUUCCCUCUCCGUUUUCGCAUCUCCCUCUCGUUUUCGCAUCUCCUUCUGCACUCCAUUGAAGCAGCUCGCUCUCUCUCCAUUGAAUUGGUUUACUCGCUUUCUCACUCCAUUGAAGCAGCACCUCCAUUGAACUAGCUCUAGCCUCCAUUGAACUCACUUCGAGGGUUUGUCAUUGAAGCGCGCACGGCUACACCUCCACCCUAACGACCUCCUUGUCACGGCUACACCUCCACCGAUUCUGAGCUUUCUCACCUCCAUUAAACCAGCUUCGAGAUCAUUUGGGGAAGAACAGAAAGAAGAAUGGAGGUUCAUCUUCCUAAUUUUCCAAAAGAUUUUAAUGCGUUUUCUGCUUCAAUACCUGCUUCAAAAAUACCUGCUUCAAUUGCUGUUUUCUGCUUCACAUGGAUUCUCUCAGGUUACCAGCAUUAAGAUUGUUCCACAGGAUGAAAGUUCAGCAUAACCGGAUCUGCAGACAAGACAAGUUAUGCCAUUGUAGGGAUAGGAGCACCAUGGAUAAUUCGUGGAAGAGGGAUCAUUGCAAAUGGUUGUAUCAGCUCAAGAUCAAUGCUCCUGUGUAGUUGUUUCUAUUCUGUUGAUGUUAGCUGUCAGGCUGUGUCUGCUUAGAUGUUGUUGCGUUGAGCUGCUACAGUGCUGUGUCUGCUGUGCCGUGAUGUCGAGUUUUCCUGUGUUGAUGUGAUGCGCUGCCGUGUUGGUGUUGCUGUCUACUUCCUUUUGCAGUGUUGUGUUGCUGGUCUGGGGUGCUGUGAUGCUGAGUUGAUGUGCUUGCUCUGCUUCUUUGGUGUUGCGCUGUGUUUUGUUAUUUUUGUAGCAUGUAGAGCUGCUUAGUUUGGGCUGUUUACAGGUUUUUGGAGUAUUAGAAGUAAAUUUCUGUAACUUUAUAUAUAGGUUAGUGUUUAUAUAUCAAUUUAAGUGAAAAAAAUGCAAAAAAAAAAAAAAAA